rnacentral:rRNA from 1 species
ACUCCUACGGGAGGCAGCAGUGAGGAAUCUUGGUCAAUGGACGCAAGUCUGAACCAGCCAUGUCGCGUGAAAGAGGACGGCCCUAAGGGUUGUAAACUUCUUUUGCAGUGGAAUAAAGUUUGCCACGUGUUGGUGAUUUGCAAGUACGCUGCGAAUAAGGAUCGGCUAACUCCGUGCCAGCAGCCGCGGUAAU